rnacentral:rRNA from 1 species
CAAGUCGAGCGCCCCGCAAGGGGAGCGGCGGACGGGUUAGUAACGCGUGGGAAUGUACCCUUUUCUACGGAAUAGCCUCGGGGAACUGAGAUUAAUACCGUAUACGCCCUUCGGGGGAAAGAUUUAUCGGAGAAGGAUCAGCCCGCGUAAGAUUAGAUAGUUGGUGGGGUAAUGGCCUACCAAGUCUACGAUCUUUAGCUGGUUUGAGAGGAUGAUCAGCAACACUGGGACUGAGACACGGCCCAG